ACACUUACUGGCAUGGGAGAUACCACAAUCAGGAAGGAGGUUUUCCCAGAGUGAGUUUCACACAUUGCACUCUGGGUCUGCAGACCCCUGUGACUUACCCAGAUGCAGAACACUCAGUUGCAUCAUUUAUGGUAGUGGGGAACUGUGUUCACCCCUCCUGA